UCUCCAUCUGUAAGUUUAAGAAACAUAAAUGAACUACUGAUUGGUGAUACAACUACCACCUACUUGGUGACACAUCACCCUGCAGAAUGUAAGCUUAUCUCUCUUAAUGACUCUGGCUGAACACCAGCGUAUGUGAUCUUAUUAGUUACUCUUAGGUAUUACUUUAUGUCAGUUAAUUGCCCUCUUAUACAUGACCCUUUCAAUGGUGUGCUUAUCAGCACUUAGUUAGCCGAGUAAGACUUAUUCAUUAGUGUGCAUGCCAGCACUUGGGUGGCCAAGAAAGCCUCUUAUAACAGUGUGCACGCCAGCACUUACAUGGCCAAGAAAGCCUCUCAUAACAGUGUGCACGCCAGCACUUACAUGGCCAAGAAAGCCUCUCAUAACAGUGUGCACGCCAGCACUUACGUGGCCAAGAAAGCCUCUUAUAACAGUGUGCACGCCAGCAC
rnacentral:misc_RNA from 1 species